GGGGCUAUUUGUUGUUCGCUGUUCGCGGGAAUGGUUUAAGGCAAAGAGAAAACGGGCAAUUAUAAAAAUGUGUGGGAGAAAAAUUAGGAUUAAAAAAAUUUUUUUGAAGAAUUAAAUUUUUCAAAAAAAAUAAAGCUUAUAAUAAUAAACUUUAAUCUUUUUUUAAAUUUAAAGUUUAUUAUUAUAAGCUUUAUUUUUUUAAAAAAUUUAAUGUUAUUAUUAUUUUAAGCUUUAUUAUCAGAUAUUUUAAAGCAGCUUUAUUCUAAAUCUGAUAAUAAUCAUAAGCUUUAUAAUCCUAAUUUUUCUCCAGCUGCAAUAUUUAUUUGGCUCCAGACAAUUGUCAGGAAUUGCCAUUGAUAACUUUUGUGAAAGUGCCGCUGAUAAAUUGUAAAUAAUUUAGAUAUCUUUUGCAAAGGAAAUUAAAUAUAUAAUAAGCUGUCAUUAAUUUUUUAAUUUCAGAUUAUUUUCGAGAUUUUAUUCUAAAAUUAUCAAUAUAAUCAAUAUUAAUGACAGCUUAAUUACCCGCAGACUGGGUAAUUCCAGCUCUGCUAACUACCUAAAUAAAAGAUAUCUGGUUGAUCCUGCCUGAACUGAUGUGUUCAUUUCAAAGAUUAAGCCAUGCAUGUAUAAGUUUAAUCGUUUUAACGAGAAACCGCGAACGGCUCAUUACAAUGGCCAUGAUUUACUUGAUCUUGAUUAUCUAAAUGGAUAACUGUGGAAAAGCUAGAGCUAAUACAUGCACCAGAGCUUUGUCCUCUCGGAAAAGCGCAUUUAUUAGAACAAAACCACGCGGCUUCGGCUGCUUCUUGUUGACUCAGAAUAACUAAGCUGACCGCAUGGCCUUGUGCCGGCGGCGUGUCUUUCAAGCGUCCACUUUAUCAACUUGACGGGAGCAUAAUCGACUCCCGUGGUGGUGACGGAUAACGGAGGAUCAGGGUUCGACUCCGGAGAAGGGGCCUGAGAAAUGGCCACUACGUCUAAGGAUGGCAGCAGGCGCGCAAAUUACCCACUCUCGGCUCGAGGAGGUAGUGACGAGAAAUAACGAGACUGUUCUCUUUGAGGCCGGUCAUCGGAAUGGGUACAAUUUAAACCCUUUAACGAGUAUCAAGCAGAGGGCAAGUCUGGUGCCAGCAGCCGCGGUAAUUCCAGCUCUGCUAAUACAUAGAAUUAUUGCUGCGGUUAAAAAGCUCGUAGUUGGAUUCGUAUCGGUACCUUGGAACCCUUCGGGUGUUUCUGGGUGUUAUCGAUUUAUCGUAAUGUUCGGUUUUGAGUCCUUAACAGGAUUUUUAACAGUCAUUGCAAGUUUACUUUGAACAAAUCAGAGUGCUUCAAACAGGCGUUUUCGCUUGAAUGAUUGUGCAUGGAAUAAUAGAAAACGAUUUCGGUUCAGUUUUAUUGGUUUUACGGACUGAGAUAAUGGUUAACAGAGACAAACGGGGGCAUUUGUAUGGCCCCGUGAGAGGUGAAAUUCUUGGACCGUGGCCGGACAAACUACAGCGAAAGCAUUUGCCAAGAAUGUCUUCAUUAAUCAAGAACGAAAGUGACGUGCGAUCUUGUAAAAAAGGGCAGCAUGGCCCCAUUCUAACUGUUUACAGUAGGGUGGAGGAAGAGCGUACGCGGUGAGACCCGAAAGAUGGUGAACUAUUCCUGAGCAGGACGAAGCCAGAGGAAACUCUGGUGGAAGUCCGAAGCGGUUCUGACGUGCAAAUCGAUCGUCUGACUUGGGUAUAGGGGCGAAAGACUAAUCGAACCAUCUAGUAGCUGGUUCCCUCUGAAGUUUCCCCCAGGAUAGCUGGAGCUCAUUAGUAGUUAUACUCGGUAAAGCGAAUGAUUAGAGGACUUGGGAACGAAAUGUUCUUAACCUAUUCUCAAACUCUAAAUGGGUAUGAUGUCAAAGUUGCUUGAUUUUGAACUUUGGCGUUGAAUACGAGUUCCAAGUGGGCCAUUUUUGGUAAGCAGAACUGGCGAUGUGGGAUGAACCAAACGCGGAGUUGAGGUGCCAAAGUGCCCGCUCAUUAGACACCAUAAAAGGUGUUGGUUGAUACAGACAGCAGGACGGUGGCCAUGGAAGUCGGAAUCCGCUAAGGAGUGUGUAACAACUCACCUGCCGAAUCAACUAGCCCUGAAAAUGGAUGGCGCUGGAGCGGGUCACCUAUACUCUGCCGUCAUAUGCUUGUAUUUUCCGUGAAAAGUCUUGCAAUGACGUGUAAGAGGGUCGUAGUGGUUGCAAUGAAGGCUUUGGGUGUGCACCCAGCUGGAGCUUCCACUAGUGCAGAUCUUGGUGGUAGUAGCAAAUAUUCAAGUGAGAUCCUUGAAGACUGAAGUGGAGAAGGGUUCCACGUGAACAGUAGUUGAAUGUGGGUCAGUCGAUCCUAAGGCACCGGCUAAAGCCGUCUAGACACUGCGGGGAGAUGAGAUACUUAACGGUAUAUUGUCUACUCGGUUGCCGAAAGGGAAGUGGGUUAAUAUUCCCACACCAGGCAUGGGAGAUGGUGAUCCG